CGGUAAGGCCCUUCGGGGUACACGAGCGGCGAACGGGUGAGUAACACGUGGGUAACCUGCCCUGUACUCUGGGAUAAGCCCGGGAAACUGGGUCUAAUACCGGAUAUGACACCGUUCCGCAUGGUGGGGGGUGGAAAGUUCCGGCGGUACAGGAUGGACCCGCGGCCUAUCAGCUUGUUGGUGGGGUAAUGGCCUACCAAGGCGACGACGGGUAGCCGGCCUGAGAGGGUGACCGGCCACACUGGGACUGAGACACGGCCCAGACUCCUACGGGAGGCAGCAGUGGGGAAUAUUGCACAAUGGGCGAAAGCCUGAUGCAGCGACGCCGCGUGAGGGAUGACGGCCUUCGGGUUGUAAACCUCUUUCAGCAGGGACGAAGCGCAAGUGACGGUACCUGCAGAAGAAGCACCGGCUAACUACGUGCCAGCAGCCGCGGUAAUACGUAGGGUGCGAGCGUUGUCCGGAAUUAUUGGGCGUAAAGAGCUCGUAGGCGGUUUGUCGCGUCGGCCGUGAAAACUUGGGGCUUAACCCCGAGCCUGCGGUCGAUACGGGCAGACUUGAGUUCGGCAGGGGAGACUGGAAUUCCUGGUGUAGCGGUGAAAUGCGCAGAUAUCAGGAGGAACACCGGUGGCGAAGGCGGGUCUCUGGGCCGAUACUGACGCUGAGGAGCGAAAGCGUGGGGAGCGAACAGGAUUAGAUACCCUGGUAGUCCACGCCGUAAACGGUGGGUGCUAGGUGUGGGGGACUUCCACGUUCUCCGUGCCGCAGCUAACGCAUUAAGCACCCCGCC
rnacentral:rRNA from 1 species